AUGUUGCAGAUAUUAUAUUAUUAGGCAGCAGUUAUGUUCAUAAGCAGUUAUUGUAUAAAUAGGAAAACUGAUAGAAAAGUCAGAAGGGCAAUUAUUUGGGAAUUGGAUAUUGGUUGGGAGAGACCAAGCUCUGGAAGAGAGAGACCUGAGACUCUCGAAUUUCUUGGGAACCCAUUGUGUAAUCCUAUUCAAUCAUCAAUAAAAGUUUAUUUCCUUAAAUCUCUAUAUUUGGCACAGGUUUCUAUCAACUCCUAAAUUACAAUCAAAUCCUUUCUAUUAUGGACAUGAGGAGAAUGGCUUUUCCUCCACUCCUUGAAGUAGGCUCAUUUUCAUCAAAUCCCAGAAACUGUCCGGAGCUUCCAAAAAGUAGUUGAUUGGCAAAAAUGUUCUCUUGCGGAAUCCCAAGUAUUGAUGCAACAGGCUUCAUAACAAGUGUGCUAUAGUUAGAAACAAAAUGAAGUAUCUAAUCCAUUAUCCUGUAUGAAAAAGAGCCAGCAUACUUAUCUAAUGUCAAAAGCUUUGCCUAAAAUUCUUACAUGUUAUGGUGACAGAUUCUAUAUAUGCAAGGAUUGCAUGUACUGGUUUUCAAAUAUUUUUAGCUAGUACUCCAUGAAUUUAAAGAAAAUCAAUCCAAAUUCACUAUAUAUAAAUAA